rnacentral:rRNA from 1 species
ACUCCUACGGGAGGCAGCAGUAAGGAAUAUUGGUCAAUGGAGGGAACUCUGAACCAGCCAUGCCGCGUGCAGGAAGACAGCCCUCUGGGGUCGUAAACUGUCUUUUAUUCGGGAAUUAAACCUUUCUACGUGUAGGAAGCUGAAUGUACCGAAGGAAUAAGGAUCGGCUAACUCCGUGCCAGCAGCCGCGGUAAUACGGAGGAUCCAAGCGUUAUCCGGUAUUUAGUUAGGGUUUAAAGGGUGCGUAGGCGGUCUUAUUAAGUCGAGGGGUAGAAAGACGGUGGCUCAACCAUCGCAGUGCCCUUGAUACUGAUGAGCUUGAAUACACUAGAGGUAGGCGGAAUGUGACAAGUAGCGGUGAAAUGCAUAGAUAUGUCACAGAACACCGAUUGCGAAAGGCAGCUUACUAUGGUGUUAUUGACGCUGAGGCACGAAAGCGUGGGAUCAAACAGGAUUAGAUACCCCUGGUAGCGACUGA